AAGAGGGACGGGUGGCGACACGGCGGCAGAGACUCCAAUGGAGUUUAAUCCCCUACUUUGUUGAGAUGUCUGAAAGGGGACUCUCACUUUGCUGAUUUGAAAGUGGAAAAUUGCGAGCUUUCAUGUAAUGGAGUGAGUCAACUUGUAGGUGUUCUUUCAACUUUAAAGAGGCCACUGGAUUCUCUAUCUAUUGGAGAAAAUGGCCUUGGCAGCAAAGUUGGAGCACCUUUGGGAAAAUUUUUGGGCAUAGGUAUUCAAGCACUAGAAAUUGAAGAUAUUGGGCUUGGUUCAUCUGGCUUUCUGGAACUACAGAAAGAAAUAGGAGAAGAUUUGAAGCUUGCCUACAUCAACAUGAGGUUCUACUGAUGCCUAGACUUUUUUAGAACUUGUGUUGUAGCUUAUUUCUGAAACAUAAACUUGUUGAUUAAUAUUGUAUAGUAAAAACUGCGGUGGGAUUGGCAAUGAUUAUAAUUUGCUAACUUUUUAUUUUCUUUUUUUAUUUUUGGGUUAGUUUAUUUUUUUAUG